rnacentral:misc_RNA from 1 species
AUUAUCCGGAGUGUCAAUGUGGUAGUUUAAGGCAGUGGAGAAGGAUCGUGAUGUCUGAGGGGCUUGACGGAAAACUUGACGGAUCUCGCGGAGACGCACGGCAGCGAGACGAGCUAGCAUUUUCGAGGACGCUGACUUUGAAGAAGAUAGAAAUCCCCGAUUCUGAUACCAGAAAACCGAGAAACGAAUGAAGUCAGGCGAGCAGCUUCCCAC